rnacentral:misc_RNA from 1 species
UCGUAACAAGGUCUCCGUUGGUGAACCAGCGGAGGGAUCAUUACAGAGUUGCAAAACUCCCUAAACCAUUGUGAACGUUACCUAAACCGUUGCUUCGGCGGGCGGCGCCGGGGUUUACCCCCCGGGCGCCCCUGGGCCCCACCGCGGGCGCCCGCCGGAGGUCACCAAACUCUUGAUAAUUUAUGGCCUCUCUGAGUCUUCUGUACUGAAUAAGUCAAAACUUUCAACAACGGAUCUCUUGGUUCUGGCAUCGAUGAAGAACGCAGCGAAAUGCGAUAAGUAAUGUGAAUUGCAGAAUUCAGUGAAUCAUCGAAUCUUUGAACGCACAUUGCGCCCGCCAGUAUUCUGGCGGGCAUGCCUGUUCGAGCGUCAUUUCAACCAUCAAGCCCCGGGCUUGUGUUGGGGACCUGCGGCUGCCGCAGGCCCUGAAAAGCAGUGGCGGGCUCGCUGUCACACCGAGCGUAGUAGCAUACAUCUCGCUCUGGGCGUGCUGCGGGUUCCGGCCGUUAAACCACCUUUUAACCCAAGGUUGACCUCGGAUCAGGUAGGAAGACCCGCUGAACUUAAGCAUAUCAAUAA